GAUGAAGAACGUAGUGAAAUGCGAUAAGUAGUGUGAAUUGCAGAAUUCAGUGAAUCAUCGAAUCUUUGAACGCACAUUGCGCCCCUUGGUAUCCCGAGGGGCAUGCCUGUUCGAGCGUCAUUUCACCACUCAAGCCUGGCUUGGUGUUGGGCGACGUCCUCUUUGGGGACGCGCCUCGAAACGCUCGGCGGCGUGGCACCGGCUUUAAGCGUAGCAGAAUCUUUCGCUUUGGAAGUCGGGGCCCCGUCUGCCGGAAGACCUGCUCGCAAGGUUGACCUCGGAUCAGGUAGGGAUACCCGCUGAACUUAAGCAUAUCAAUAAGCGGAGGA
rnacentral:misc_RNA from 1 species